rnacentral:rRNA from 1 species
GUCUACAGCCAUGCCACCCUGAACAAGCCCGAUCCCAUCUGAUCUCGGAAGCUAAGCAGGUUUGGGCCUGGUUAGAACUUGGAUGGGAGACCACUUAGGAAGACCAGGUGCUGUAGGCG